AGCAACCAGACUAUGAUGGCGCACCCCAUACGUCUCCCCUACGGGCCUCUCCAUCUCAUGAUGGUGAUUCGGCCCUGAUCGGGCCCAUAUGUAGCCUUUUUUCGUACGACAUGUGUGUGGGUGACUGCGAGACGUGUGAUGCACAUCGAUCGAUCUGCAUGCAUCCUACGAUGCUAGCUAGCUACCACCUCGAGAUUUCUGAAACAGAUAGCGUGCAUCUCCAUCUGAAGUUUCUCUUUCUUUUUCAAUUUUCAUUACUCUCGAUCGAUCUGGUACGGUGGUACCUACGUACGCACACACGAGGCCGAGGGGCAUGAAGACGUGUGAUCCACUAGAUGAUAGAGGAAGCGACCAAUAUAAUCCGAACGACGAUACGGCAAAAAAAAAAAGGGCU
rnacentral:lncRNA from 1 species